UCGAACGCGUCUCCGUUAAUGAUUUUAGGUGCUUGCACUUGAGAGAUUUAACAUUGAGACGAGUGGCGAACUGGUGAGUAACACGUGGGUAACCUGCCCCUGAAGUAGGGGAUAACACUUGGAAACAGGUGCUAAUACCGUAUAACAACCAAAACCACCUGGUUUUGGUUUAAAAGACGGCUUCGGCUGUCACUUUAGGAUGGACCCGCGGCGUAUUAGCUUGUUGGUAAGGUAACGGCCUACCAAGGCGAUGAUACGUAGCCGACCUGAGAGGGUAAUCGGCCACAUUGGGACUGAGACACGGCCCAAACUCCUACGGGAGGCAGCAGUAGGGAAUCUUCCACAAUGGACGAAAGUCUGAUGGAGCAACGCCACGUGAGUGAUGAAGGGUUUCGGCUCGUAAAACUCUGUUGUUGGAGAAGAACAGGUGUCAGAGUAACUGUUGACAUCUUGACGGUAUCCAACCAGAAAGCCACGGCUAACUACGUGCCAGCAGCCGCGGUAAUACGUAGGUGGCAAGCGUUGUCCGGAUUUAUUGGGCGUAAAGCGAGCGCAGGCGGUUUUUUAGGUCUGAUGUGAAAGCCUUCGGCUUAACCGGAGAAGUGCAUCGGAAACCGGGAGACUUGAGUGCAGAAGAGGACAGUGGAACUCUAUGUGUAGCGGUGAAAUGCGUAGAUAUAUGGAAGAACACCAGUGGCGAAGGCGGCUGUCUGGUCUGUAACUGACGCUGAGGCUCGAAAGCAUGGGUAGCGAACAGGAUUAGAUACCCUGGUAGUCCAUGCCGUAAA
rnacentral:rRNA from 1 species